rnacentral:rRNA from 1 species
AUUGAACGCUGGCGGUAUGCCUUACACAUGCAAGUCGAACGGUAGAGGGGCAACCCUUGAGAGUGGCGAACGGGUGAGUAAUACAUCGGAACGUGCCCAGUCGUGGGGGAUAACGUAGCGAAAGCUACGCUAAUACCGCAUACGACCCGAGGGUGAAAGCGGGGGAUCGCAAGACCUCGCGCGAUUGGAGCGGCCGAUGGCAGAUUAGGUAGUUGGUGGGGUAAAGGCCUACCAAGCCUGCGAUCUGUAGCUGGUCUGAGAGGACGACCAGCCACACUGGGACUGAGACACGGCCCAGACUCCUACGGGAGGCAGCAGUGGGGAAUUUUGGACAAUGGGCGCAAGCCUGAUCCAGCCAUACCGCGUGCGGGAAGAAGGCCUUCGGGUUGUAAACCGCUUUUGUCAGGGAGGAAAUCUUCUGGGCUAAUACCUCGGGAGGAUGACGGUACCUGAAGAAUAAGCACCGGCUAACUACGUGCCAGCAGCCGCGGUAAAAC